GUCCAGACUCCUACGGGAGGCAGCAGUGGGGAAUAUUGCACAAUGGGGGAAACCCUGAUGCAGCGACGCCGCGUGAGUGAAGAAGUAUUUCGGUAUGUAAAGCUCUAUCAGCAGGGAAGAUAAUGACGGUACCUGAGUAAGAAGCCCCGGCUAACUACGUGCCAGCAGCCGCGGUAAUACGUAGGGGGCAAGCGUUAUCCGGAUUUACUGGGUGUAAAAGGAGCGUAGACGGCAUGGCAAGUCUGAAGUGAAAGCCCGGGGCUCAACCGCGGGACUGCUUUGGAAACUGUUAAGCUGGAGUGCAGGAGAGGUAAGUGGAAUUCCUAGUGUAGCGGUGAAAUGCGUAGAUAUUAGGAGGAACACCAGUGGCGAAGGCGGCUUACUGGACUGUAACUGACGUUGAGGCUCGAAAGCGUGGGGAGCAAACAGGAUUAGAUACCCUCGUAC
rnacentral:rRNA from 1 species